UCAGGAAGCACUGACUGAAAGCCACAUAGUCUCCCAUAGCACAUGCCUUCCUCUUACCCCUUAGAGCAGCUUCCAGCUGGAGCUGGGACCAGCUUCCUGUGCUUGGGCCUCUAGAAUAUGCCCAUACUUCAUUUGUCACUGAGCAGGCCUUGGCUUCAGAGGCCACAGCUGCUGGUGAGUUGGGCAUCAUCAGGGACGUCCCUACGUCAGCCAUGUGCACAUCUGAGUUCUGUGGGGCCAUGGAUACUAGGGAGCACAGGAGAAUGCUGCGAUGCCUCCAGGCUGGGGUGAACAGGGCCAACAUGGUGGCUUAUGUAUCAUCACUGCUCUCCCUAGACUCUCAAACCUUGGACCAAAUCUGAAUCAUCCAGGGAUUCAUGGACUCCUGGCCCCACAUGCAGGGCUCCUGAUUCAGCCCAUCUGGGUGGAGACAGAUUUUAUAUUUCCACAAGUUCCCUGGGGAUGCUGUUAUACUUAUGAUGUAUCAGCCACCUGUCCUCCCACUGUUCUUAUGAGGCAAUAAUUGACUUGCUCUUAACAGAGUCUGCUCUUCAGACUCUUGAGCUCUGGGGUCCCUGGGUGGCCCGUGAGGUUGCCCAGUGCCUUGGGCUGAUGCUGCAACUGGCAGAGGGACUACAGUCUGACAGCCACUGCCCUAGCAUGUUCCUACCUCUGACCAUAGCGCCUGCUACCACCAGUGUCUGUCCCAGGGAUGCAUCUCACUGACAGCCCACCUGCUAUCACAUCAACCUUCUCUGGCUCUCGGGAGCCACUACAGUUGGACUUUUCCAAGUGAUUGUGUUCACUGGGCUGAAAUUACAUCAAGCCAUCCCCCAGCCUGGGCACUCCACACUCGUUCUCAGGGCGGUGGGUAGGAUCUUCACUUUCAUCUAGGCACCAGGGCUGCAGGAGCCAGUUGGAGGACAUUACUGCUCUGACGAACCUCACUGUGACUGGGCUGGGCAAAGGGAUCCAACAACAUAAGACCCUACAGACCGGUGCUGGGGUCCAUCACCAGAAGGUAGAUACGUACUAUUAUCCUCAUUGUGCAGAGCAGAAAACUGAGACCUGGAGAAGUCAAGGGACUUCUCCCAAGGUCACAAGGCUGAGGUUCAAACCAGGCCUGAGGCAAGAAUACACAUGGAGGUCCAGGCAUCUAAAAGUUCUAUGGAAUGAUUACAAAUCACUCACAAGUUGGUAAGUAAAAUAUGCUUAGCUACCUUUGAAAAAUGUAGCUCCAUAGCCUGGAAGGCCAGGCUCCACAGAGGCUCACAGGACAGAGCAGAGGCAGAGCUGGCCCAACCCAAGGCCUGGCCCUUUCUCCCAUCCUGCACUGUACAUGUGUUAGUACCCAGCCAACUGUCCAGUCCUCCCCACCACCCCAGCUGCCCUGGCUCCUCAGACCCAGGAGAGUGACCUAGAGAAGAUGGCCCAGGGAAGAGGCCCAGCCUGGUGGUGAGCUUGAGGCCCACUGAGCAGGAAAUGAAGGGCCCUGUGAUUCUGGGGAUCCUUCACUACUAAGGGAAGGGAGCAGUGAAUCAGGGCUCUCUUCAGUGAGGGGCUGACCUAGUCUCGUGCAGUCUGGUGUCCACCAACAUCCAGGGACUUUCCUGCCUGCUGGCCCCUGUGUCUGCUGCCCUAGCCACGGGCAGAGAGAACAGGGCCCCUGCCAUCUCCCUCAGAGGCCUGUGUAGGGGUCACCAAAUGAAGACAGUGCAAGGCCUACUGAUAGUCCCUACAGAGCCAACCUUGCUU